UACAGAGGGUGCGAGCGUUGUCCGGAAUCACUGGGCGUAAAGGGCGCGUAGGUGGUGGCUUAAGCGUGCGGUGAAAGCUCGGAGCUCAACUCCGAGUCGGCCGUGCGAACUGGGCUCACUGGAGCAUAGUAGAGGCAGGUGGAAUUCCGGGUGUAGCGGUGGAAUGCGUAGAGAUCCGGAAGAACACCAGUGGCGAAGGCGGCCCGCUGGGCAGUGGCUGACGCUGAGGCGCGACAGCGUGGGGAGCAAACAGG
rnacentral:rRNA from 1 species